AGUCAUUGAGGAAAUUUUCGGUAUGUAUUUUCUUGCUUGUAAAUCAUAAAAAAAAUACAAUUGUUCAAUUAAGACCAGUAAUUAAUUUUUUUAUUAAUAUUUUUUAGUUCAUUGUUUGUUACAAUUAAAAAGAACUCAUCAAGUAGUUCAAUAGUUCUAUGAAACAAUCAUUUUUUUUUAAUAAAAAAUAUGGAUUUUGUCAGCAGUAACGAUCUUGCUGACCAGUUCUAUGUAUCGGAAAUUUACAGCCAUUGAGGUCUUAAUUCUUUUAAUUAAAAUGAGGUUUCGACUAGGAAUUAUUUAAAAUCAAUUGUUGGAGAUGAAAAUAAAUUGUUCUCAUCGAGUGUCAAUUUCUAAAGGAAGAGACCGCGCUCUUGCUGGAGCAAAAUAUCAAUCAGACUGGAAAAUAAUACAGUGGAGUGUGAAGUAAACAAAAGCACUGAUUUUAUUCUAUGUGAUUAUCAUGCAUCUUGGACCGCUGGUUCCUGCUGCUGGAAGCUCCCUAGUUAAAAAUACUGAUUGAAAAGAAUUGAGAAGCGGCCACUCUAUGCAAACUGUAUAUCUAUAUAUACAAACACAAAAAUUGAAAUUAUUGAGAAGAAUUCGAAUUUCAUCAUUUUUAAUUCUUUUCAAUCAAUAUUUUUAACCAGGGCUGAGAAAAACGUCCGCCUAGUAAUUGAAAGAAUUGUCUGCUGCUCAGGAUAUUGCAUGCCUUAAGCGCGAGCGUAGGUAUGCUCUACUCUCGCCUAAAAAUUUCUUGGUGUGGUGAGUGAUUUUUUG